rnacentral:rRNA from 2 species
GAAGCGGCAACAGCUCAAAUUUGAAACCUGGCGCUUGCGUCCGGAUUGUAAUUUGUAGAGGAUGCUUCUGGGCAGCGGCCGUUCUAAGUUCCUUGGAACAGGACGUCAUAGAGGGUGAGAAUCCCGUAUGUGACUGGCGCGCACCCUCCACGUAGCUCCUUCGACGAGUCGAGUUGUUUGGGAAUGCAGCUCUAAAUGGGAGGUAAAUUUCUUCUAAAGCUAAAUAUUGGCCAGAGACCGAUAGCGCACAAGUAGAGUGAUCGAAAGAUGAAAAGCACUUUGGAAAGAGAGUUAAAAAGCACGUGAAAUUGUUGAAAGGGAAGCGCUUCCAACCAGACUCCGCGGCGGUGUUCCGCCGGUCUUCUGACCGGUCCACUCGCCGCCGUGGGGCCAACAUCGUCUGGGGCCGCCGGAUAAGACCGGAGGAAUGUAGCUCAUUGAGUGUUAUAGCCUCCGGUGAUGCGGCGCGUCCCGGGCGAGGUCCGCGCUUCGGCAAGGAUGUUGGCGUAAUGGUUGGCAGCGGCCCGUCUUGAAACACGGACCAAGGAGUCUAACAUCUAUGCGAGUGUUCGGGUGUCAAACCCCUACGCGUAAUGAAAGUGAACGGAGGUGGGAGCUUCGGCGCACCAUCGACCGAUCCUGAUGUCCUCGGAUGGAUUUGAGUAAGAGCAUAGCUGUUGGGACCCGAAAGAUGGUGAACUAUGCCUGAAUAGGGUGAAGCCAGAGGAAACUCUGGUGGA